AGAGGGGCUGUGCAGGUGUGAGAGCGCGUCAGGCUUCACAUUCUUAGACCCCGGGCGGUAGGAAAUAGUGAAAUGGAAGCUAGUGAAUAACAGGGCCCCUCUCACCUGCUUGGAGUUGAGGCGCUUGGCGGUGUGGAGAGAUUCCAGUUUAUUAUGGUUCGUCCACACCAGAAAUGGCUGUUCCGCCCCUUCUAACCAGUGCCUCCACUAUUCCAACGCCAUCUUGUCAGCGUAAUUUGUGAUUUUCCAUGUUGUGGUUCCUCUCGCCAGGGUUAAGGCAAUGGGAAAGGAAGGCACAUGGCUGCAGCUUCUGAUCCUGGGCAGAGUGUUGGGACAGGACAGCCCCCACUUCGACGUCAACCUCCACCACAAACUAACAGGACAGGUCCGGAUGGAUUAAGAUGGGGGCUGUAGUGAAUCACUGCUUGAGGUCAGAGAUCGCCCGGUCAGUUGCUGGAGACCACCUUGGUAGAGGUGAGUGCAGAGAGGGGGAAGCAAGGUUGCUCUAGCCCCAGAUGAAACGAUGGUAGAAAUGGCCAAACCCCAGGAAACGCUGCAGUUGCACACUUUUCAUAGAUUGAUGCCAAUCAACCACAGCUCUCACCUUGUCAGGGUCAAUCUGAACAAUCCCUGCAGUGAUGACGUAUCCCUAUAAGGAGAUGGUGGUGCCACUCACACUUCUCCGCAUUCACGAACAGCUGGUUCUCCAGGAGAUGCUAACCAGGAAUAGAUGAGGAUGUCAUUGAGGUAGACAAACACAAAUUGGUUCAAAAUGUUUCAGAGCACACCAAGGCCUGGAACACUGCAGGAGCAUUGGUCAGUCCGAACAGCAGGUACUCAUAGUGCCCGCUAGCCGUGUUAAAGGCAGUUUUCCACUCAUCCCCUUCCCGUAAAUCUGAACCAGAUGGUAGGUGUUCCACAGGUCCAACUUGGAGAAGAUGGUUGCCUCCUGGAGAGGCUUGAAAGCUGAGGAGAUGAGUGGUAGUGGGUAACGGUUUUUACCCUCAAUGUCAUUGAGACCCAGGUAGUCAAUGCUUGGAUGCAGGGUUUGUCCUUCUUCUCCACAAAGAAGAACCCUGCACCGGCAGGGGAGGAAGAGGAACGCAUAAACAAAGCAGUGAGAGAAGUCCUCAAUAUACCCUUCCAUCGCUUUGGUCUCCGGACCCGACACGGAAUAAAGUCAUGCUAGAGGAGGUGUAGUACCCGGGCAGAAAGUCAAUGGUGCAGUCAUAAGGCCGAUGCGGAGGAAGCGGGGUGGCAAGGGCCUUGCUGAAAAUCUCCCGGAGGUCCUGGUAUUCCACAGGAACGACAGAGAGGUUUGGGGCUUCUCCCAAGCCCGCAGGAAGACGCCCCAGGGCAGGCAGUGCCAACUUCAGACAAUGUGCAUGGCAAAACGGGCUCCAACCCAGGAUAGAACCAGUAGCCCAGUCGAUCUGAGGAUUGUGCCUCUGGAGCCAGGAGAACCCCAAAACCACAGGUGAAUGAGGGAUCCGAUGGGCAGGGACUGCAUAAUCUUACUGUGAUUGCCCGACAUUCUCAGGUUAAUGGGAAAUGUAGUGUUUGUGACUGCCAGUAGAUUGCCCAUCCAACGCUCUGACGUCCAUGGGAGUAGAGAUGGUAUGCGUGGGGAUUCCCAGCUCCAACACCAGGGUAGCGUCCAUAAAGCCCUCGUCGGCCCCAGAAUCAAUGAGCACCCGGAGAGAUUUGGACCGUUCACCCCAAAACAGGGUAGCAUGGAGAGGGGUAUGAGCAAUCAAGGAUGGGAUACUCCCCGUAUGGCUCAUCAGUGUACUCGUAUCUACUUGAUGAGCCUGGGUUUUUAAUGGGCAGGUAGCUAAGAAAUGUCCCGUAGCCCCACAAUAUAGACAGCUCUGGGUGUUAAGUUCACGUAAGCUCUCAGCCGGAGACAAUCUAGCCCUGACCAGUUGUAUGGGCUACGAAGGAGGCGAGUUUGCAGCCCACGGAGAUUCCCAAGAGAACUUGGGUGACAUCGGGUUCACUCGGACAUGUAGACUUUGGGGAUCUCCGGGAUUCCUCGGAGGUGAGGUGGGAAUCGAGGGCAAGCGAGUGAGACAGGGCACAGAUUCCCUCUCCCUCCUACAUUCUCGUAGCCAUCUGAAUGGUCAAGGCUAUGAGGGAGUGAAGGUCCAUGGGCAGCUCCCUGGCUGUGAUCUCAUCUUUGACCACCUCUGAUAAUCCAUGAAGGAACAUGUCGAACAAUGCUUCCGGGUUCCAGGCACUCUCAGCCCCCAACAUGCGAAAAUCCACCUCGUAGUCUGCCACGCUAUGGGAGUCUUGACAUAGCUGGAGCAGCUUACAAGCAGCGUCUCUCCCGGACAAUGGAGACUCAAACACCUUCCGUACUUUCGCCACAAACUCCUCCAGACUGAGGCAGAGGGCGGACUGUUGCUCCCACAACGCCGUAGCCCAGGCGAGUGCCCUCCUGGACGUCAGCGUUAUGAGAUGCGCUGUCCUCGAGUGGUCCGGGCGGAACGAAGAAGGCUGCAGCUCAAAGAUGAGAGCGCACUGGGAGAGAAAGGCCCGGCGGGUUCCAGAAUCUCCAGCAUAGUGCUCUGGAGGAGGUAAGCAGGGUUCUAGGGACACUGGGGUAGGCAGGGAAGAAAUGCUGCUGGUGGAGGAGUUGCUGAGAGUCUGGGGGAUUACUGGUGUGGCCCAAUGCCUACUAGGGAAUCUGCAGAAUUUCUUGAGCAAUGUAUCGAAUGCCUGGUCAUGGCGUUCUGCCAGGGUAUGGUGUCACUCCAUAAGGCAUUGCAGUAACUCCUCAUGUCUUCCAAUGGUGGCUCCUUGCUGGGAGACAACAUUGUGGAGUCUAUCGUACUAUCACGACUCAUGAUAUAACCCAGAUGCAGACACAGGAGGCCAAUAGUACAGUUCUCAGAUGAUUUAUUAUAAGCACAGGGCAGGUCGAGGACAAGCAGGGGUUUGUGAUCAGGCCUGAGUAAGGCAGGUAGGCUCGGGGUCAGGGCAGGCAGAGGUUCGAAUUAGGUCAGAGUCAGGCAGGUGCAGGACAGCAGGCAGGCUCAUGGACAGGGCAGUCAAUAGUCAGAACCGGGAAAACUAGGAAACAGAACUUGAGAAAAAGGAAGAAGGGAAAGCACGCUGAUAAGACCAGACAAGACACCAUGAACAGGCAACAGACAAACAGACAACACAGAUAUAAAUACACAAGGGAUCAUGGGAAGAUGGGUGACACUUGGAGGGGGGUAAAGACAGGUGAAACAGAUCAGAGUUUGACAGUCUUAUUUAAUGAACAGGGUUGCAGUUUGCAGUGAAGCGUUCAUCCAUGUAUACGGGUAAGAGUCUAGCUACAGUUUCAGAUAAAUUUCUAAUACGUUUCUAAUUUUGUCAGAAAGUUGUUUUCAUUGCAAGUUAAAGCUAACUGUUGGCUGGCUCUCUAGCUAACAUUACAUGUAUGAUCUGUGCAAUAAUAUUAUUAUGCAUUGCUUGUUGUAGCCUAAUGUUAGCUAGCUAACCAGCUAACAUUUAGCCUAUAUGGUUAACUUUAGCAAGCUAUUACAAUCGGUUUGUAUUGCUAGUACUCUAUGGAAUGCGAUUAUGGUUCAUUCUUUAGCUUUCUAGCUAGCUACAUGUCUAAACAAAGACCCCAAGUUAAAGCUUACUGUUAGGUAGCUAGCUGACAUUAGCUGGCUGGCUUGCUAGCCAUCAUUACGUGUAUGAUCUGUGAAGUAAUAUUAUCUCAGAAAGCCAUAUGCAUUGCUAGUUAUUGCCUAAUGUUAGCUACUGUAGCUAACAUUGAACCUAUUUGGUUAACUUUAGUUAGCUAUGACAAACGGUUUGUAUUGCUAGUACUUCACUGUUUAGAUAGCUAUAUGUCUAAACAAAAGACUCCACUUUUCCAGAUGUUUACAUGACCCAUCAAGUUAGCCAGGUGUGUCUGACGGUGAUUACGUCCAUCUAUUGUCUACCAAAAAAAUAUUUGUAUCUGGAAUUUGUCUUUCAGCAUAAUUCUUUUCCACCAGUCAUAUAAGGAGAAUGGUCUAAUGCCUCCCAUCAAAAAUAAAUCUGGCCCAAGCAAGCACAGGUUACACCUGAAGCAUGAGUACUUGCAGCGAGUUGUGAACCAUCAACAACUACGCAGAGGACAAUGCAAGAGUAUUACCAGGACGCCACCCAGGGCAAAAACACUGGUAGAAAGCUGCUGUCAUCUCAUGUGAAUCGAUGACAACACUUGAGGCACGUGUAGUCGGGCUGUCUUCCUUCAGGAAUUUGUGGAGAAAAUUGCUGCAUCCCAUCUCAAGCAACUAAGCCCGGGACAGACCUGUGCUGACAUUGACAGAGGAACAACUAUCAGGUCUUCAGAUCUACCAAUCUGCCAGAAGCUGUUAAGUCAGCCAAGCUGAAGAACGAAGAACGACAUCUCCUGCUUGUUCAGAGUGAGCGGUCUGUCUACCAGAAGAUGGUUGCUGAUUGCAAGACCACCUGUCAAGACCUGCAGUUGUCUUUGGGAGGCCCUACUGUACCAGCAAGCAAAGACAUCAGGAUGCAACACAGUUUUGAUUUUGCUCAACAAAUCCCUGCAGUGAGACGCUUGUUCAGAAGGCCUCGCCUGCUGAGAUCAGACAGGCAGAAAAUACCCCUAAAGCCUCCACCUCAUCCAGCAACUUGCAGCCUGUUCAUCGUGUGACGCCUCUGAACUUUCCCAUUGUAGACCUGCCAGUGAUGCUCCAAUACGACCCCCUCCUUCCCUCCACCUCCCCACUGGAACCUCCAUCAGGAGGCUGUGUUGCCCUAUGAGCUGCUCAGCAGGUGAGGCACAGCAGGGGCAUGGCUUUGUUCUUACCAUUCAAACCCUUCGGGUGUAUCAGUUAGGAGACAAAACUGUAAUAAAUAGCUAGAACAAAAGGCUAUACAAUCACUGAUCAAAUGUCACACAUCACCAAGAACCAAAUAAAUUACCUUCCAGUAGAAAUGUUCUAUCUUUUUUUUUACAUUACAUUUUAAAGGUGCUCCACGCAACAACUAACCCUGCUAAUAGCACAAAAUAUAAUUGACCUACAGUAGCAGUCAAAAGUUCGGACACACCUACUCAUACAAUGGUUUUUCUU